ensembl:lncRNA
CAAAGUUGUUGUAUUCAUUAAAAGAUAGACAUCACGGGCACCUGACAUAGUAAUAUAUUAAUUUCACUUGAUUUUGAAUGCCGGUUAAACAAAAGGCUGGUUAUUACAAACGAAAUACUUUGAUUUAAUUAGAGAGAGACUUACAUCAUGUUGGCUCAGCAGAGCAGCGUCCAUUAGAGGAUUGUGAGAUUUCUUUAGAAGUCAAAAGAAAAAAAAACAAAACAUCCUGCCUGCAGCCUGAGAAACGUACCAGUGGAACCAGUUUCUGAAGAGCUUGCCAGUAAAUAUACAGUGUGGCAUCACACACAUACACACAGAGUCAGGUAAUCUGAUCUGUCUCCCUUUGUAUUCCCGUGGGAAUGUUUCUGUUUUUCUCUUUGUUUUAAUCACUCCUCUGUCUCUCUUCUAUAGCUUGUAAUUACCUUUUUCUUUCUCCAUGGUUUCUAUUGAAAAUGUUUCAUCACUUCAUCUAUUUAUUUGUCUUUGUAGGCUUUUUAAUUUUAUGCCCAGUUUACAGAUUUCAUCAAAGCACCUCUUUUUCACUAUCUUUAUGCUUGUUUGCAAUUUGCACUUCUUCGUGCAUAUUUUUUUUCUUUUUAUAGUCAAAUUUCUGUUUUUGUUUCUUAGUUUUCUGGCUCCUUCUCUCAUCUUGUUUUUCUUUAAAGUCUUUUCUGUGACCCAGCUUGUCACUCUGCACUCACCUAGGAUAGACUAUAUUGGAUGAGCUGUUAAGUAAAUGGAUGAUUAGUAAUCUUUUUGAUGUGUUUUCUAGUAGCUUUGCUCCUUCUUGAGUAAUUUGUAGUUCAUCCAGUUCAUCCUGCAGACAUAUAUUUUCAUGCUUGUCACUACUGACCAUGUGGUCAUAACAUACUUGAACUCAAACACUUAAGCUCAGUUAUCAGGGUUAGAUUGUCCUGGAUACGACCAUUUACAAAACCUCUAACUAUUUAGUUACAAACUUAAAUGUAACACAAUAACUGUGAUGAUAAUGAAGUCCUGGUCCAUCCUUAAUGUUUUGUGACUCUUAUUUAUUUUGUUCGCCUUCGCAGUGAUUUUGCAUCUUUUAAUACUCGUCUUUGUAGCAUUUUGCCUCUGUUCUGGUUGCUGGUGUGUCUGUGUAGUGAUUUACAGUUUUUGUUUCCUAUUCAGGGUUUUUUUCUGUGUGGAGAUGAUUUUUGUGUGUGUGAAAUCUGUUGUGGUCGUUUUGUGUGUCAUUGUAGCUGUUUUGCAUCUUUUCAUGCUAAUUUUGUGUCUCUUUAUUGUAAUUUUACAAUGUUUCUUUUAUUUUCAUUUUAUAAAUCUUUGUGUUUUUUAUGAUGUUGGAUUUUUAUCUUGGUGUUGGAUAAGCAGAAGAGAAUAGUCAGAUGUGUCUUGUCUUUUUAAUUUAGUAUCUCUUUACAUUUGUUAUUUGUUUGUUGAAUGUUUGCAUCUGUUAAAAGUUAUUUAUCAUCUCUUUAGUGAUUUUUUUCAGUUGUUUUUCUUCUUUCGGAGUACUUUUUUUUAUGGCUUUGCAUAUGUUUUUUUUGCAUUUUUGAUUGCUUUGCUUCGCUUUGUGGUGACUCGAUGCGUCUUUGGGGAGAUUUUGCACAUUUUUAACUGUUGCAUUUCUUUUGCAGUCGGUUUGAUUUUCUUUGUAGUUUUGUGUCUUUGUGUUUUUUUCUCUGUUAUUUUUUUAUGCUUUUAACUUUCAGUUUUGGGUCUCUUUGCAGCGAUUUUGUGCCUUUUUCAUAUCUUCUUUAGUCAUUUUUGCUUGUUCUUGUAGAUGUUUUUCAUGUCUUAUGGCUUUUUUUCUGUAUCAUUAUUGCUUAUUUGGCAUCUUUUCAGUAAUUUCAACAUCUUCUCUUCAUCUCUGUGGUCAGUUUAUUUUUUGUAGUCACUCGACUGACUUUAAAUGAAGAAGCAUUAACUUCAAACAUCAAACAAGCUCUGACCUGCUGCUCCCUGCCCCUACUGUCUGUUUGCUAAUCCAUCCAUAUCUGUAUGUGUUUGUCUGUUUAUAUGUGGCUGUAGAAAUUAAAGCAGAUCAGCCCAGUUUUGGUUCACAGGAGUGACGUACCUACUGUUACUGUUAGCACUCAGGAUGCUAACCUGCAUUUACAGGCCUGGCAGCACACACACACACACACACACACACACAAACACAUACACACUCACACACACAGGCUUGUAUGUGCUUUAAAGCUGAUCAGUUUCUUCCUGCAUUCAUUCAUUCAUUCAGUCCUCCACCUUCAUCCAUCUGCAGUCUGUCCAUCCUCCCCUCUUCCCUCUCUCUCUCCCUAUCAAGAAAACACAGCAUGCUACAGCUGCUGCUGCUGUCAUCCUCACACAUUCCUCCACCCAUCAAUCAUCCAGCCAUCCAUCUGUCCACGCAGUCGUCCGUCUGUCCUUUCAUCUUGGAAAUUAAAGAGAGCACUCACCAUGUUUUCCUCAGACGCAGCCGAUCACUG